rnacentral:misc_RNA from 1 species
UUAAGUUCAGCGGGUAUCCCUACCUGAUUCGAGGUCAAACAAUUGAGAGGGUUCGCUUCUGGGAGCCGGGCCGCGGGCGAGGGGCGCAAUUCUGCUGCACUCCAGGCCGUGGCACCAGCCGCCAAUCGCUUUGAGGCGAGUCCGCGCCGGAGAGGCGGGACAGACGCCCAACACCAAGCAGUGCUUGAGGGUGUAAAUGA